rnacentral:misc_RNA from 1 species
GAUGAAGAACGCAGUGAAAUGCGAUAAGUAAUGUGAAUUGCAGAAUUCAGUGAAUCAUCGAGUCUUUGAACGCACAUUGCGCCCCCUGGUAUUCCGGGGGGCAUGCCUGUCCUAGCGUCAUUGCUGCCCUCAAGCACGGCUUGUGUGUUGGGCCCCCGCCCCCCGGCUUCGGGGGGCGGGCCCGAAAGGCAGCGGCGGCACCGCGUCCGGUCCUCGAGCGUAUGGGGCUUCGUCACCCGCUCUGUAGGCCCGGCCGGCGCCCGCCGGCGACCCCAAUCAAUCUUUCCAGGUUGACCUCGGAUCAGGUAGGGAUACCCGCUGAACUUAAGCAUAUCAAUAAGCGGAGGA